CACUUCACAGAAUUCACGGUAUCCAAAAUUGGUCCACUUGAGUUCUUCUUCAAAACAGCAAUGACUUUUGAGGAUUUAUUGUGAUCUGUGUUCUCCGAGGUACCUGAUGAGAAUUUUACCUGUAAAUCGGUGUUUGUUCAACUCGUUGGAACUGCUCUGUAAAGUGGUUGAGGUUGCUGCAUUGGGACUGCUAUUUAUGAGGAUUUUAUCCUUCAGCUACAAUACCCAUCCUUCUCUUUCUAAUCUGUAUUCUUUAAGGU